UGUAGAGACCCCGACAGGUUCUUGGGGAAGAGAAGGCGACGGAGAAACGGAGAGGAGGGACAUGGGGGUGGGGGAAGCGGGAAACGCUCCUGUGGCAACAUCUGGCUCUCCAGAAGAGCUGUGAAGGGAUGGGUCUCCAAAUGCCACUAGCGGGGCUUCCCCAGUCUCCCCGCCACCCCACUUGCUGAAAUCUCUGCCAAGGCCCAAGUCCUCAAGCCUGGCACUCUGAAGAGGGCGCCGCAAAGUCCUUCAGAGCCCUCAAAGCAGGAGCGCGAACAGAAAAGCAUCCCCCCAAAGACAGCAAAGCCACACACCCUCUGUCGGCCAGCCUCCCGGGGCCGGCAACUUCAUCCCUGCAACACACGAAAGCCCCCGUCCUCCAAGGAAGGCAAGGAGGGACACCCGGGCGCCCGCCUCGCCCCUCGCCUCCCGCUCCGUCCUCCCCCCUCCCCCGCAAACUCCAGGCAGACUCUCUGCAAGUCAUAUUAAUGUUUCCUGUAACUGCUACCGCUCAUUAAGGGUCACUACGUGUCAAGCACCUCAAAGAAGGCCUCACAUACGUCAUCUCACUUUCCUCUCUCGACAACCACUUCUGAGCUGUAGGCUCUGGGAGCCCUCCCCAACAAACUUCUGCAUGUAAAUCUCCACCUCAGAGUGUGUCUCCUGGAAAUCUUACCUGCAAUACUUGAAAGAUUGUAUGCCCCUAGUUGGGGGGCCACAUACAACCUCAUCCAGAAUGAUGCAGAAGAAAUAAUGCUGCCAAGUGAGCCUGAAGCAACAUGCAGGUCUCCUGCAGCCCCCACACAUGAGGGAUGCAGGAGACCUAGUGGUUUCCACACGCUCUAAUAAAGGGACCAAAAUCUGAGAGCUGGAGGAUCAGCAAAAGCGUGGGAAUGCAAAGCCAAAAUACGUGGCUUUCUCCUCUGGAAACAUAUUUGGGACCAGGAUAUAUACCAGCAUGUGUCCAAGUGACCACACAAGCAUUUCAGCAGAUGUCCACGAAGAAAGCCAGAAUGGCCACUCCACAGUGAAGACUAGCUAAAAUCUACAGGCCCAUGUAGCCUCCUACAAUCAUGUGGUCACAUAAGUCUCAUCCCCAAAUGCAACCAAAUACCAUUCUAGAAGUAUAGAGAAGGAGGGAAAAUCAAUUUUACACCUAAGAAUCUGAAUCAUGCAGAGAAGAAUAUUCAAACCAGAAGACAUUAGAUGCUAGCACCUUAUGGCUGAGAGAUGUGUAGCACCUGAGGAUUGCCUACUCACCAGUCCAUUACUGCUGACUCUUACAGCUACAGCUCUGGAACAAAAGGAAGCAAAGAAAAGUUGAAAAGCCAGUGAGCAAUAUGAACUCUAGGAGAUGCAUGAAAUCCUAGGUGCCUCCAUGCCAUCUCCUCAUCGCCCGCUCCCAACCAUUCAUCUACAGUCCCUCAGAAGAGAAGCAUCGUGAUUUGCAUUUGAACUUGUACCUACAUCACUAAAAUAAGAGUGAGCAGCCUUAGUUGAGUGUCUUUACAGACAUGAUUAAAUUUAAUCAUCAUGACAACUUUAGGAAGUAUUACAAAGGUGGAAACUGAGACUUCGAGUUUACACAGAGUACACGGCAAACCCAGGAUUUACACAAAGAUCUCCUACAUCAGAACCCUGACACGAGGAGCUCUACUGCAUGACAGAUAUAGACCUUUGACCUAAUUCUAAGGUUCUGCCAAACCAGAGUAAAGCCAUUAGACAAAAGACCCUCCAAAAAAACCUCACUUCUGCCCACUGCUGCCCUCCCUCUUUCCAACCACCUGGAGUAGAGAUUUAGAGCUCUUUGUAGCCACACUUCACUUUGUCAGUAACUUUCUAACAGAUACUGUAACAUGUAUCUCUUAGUAGGAAACUUAGUACUGUAUAUACUCCCCAGUUAAUGCGAACAUAGUUUUCUUAAAGGUGAGAGACAGUGGAGCUCUGGCCAUAAUCUUACUCAAACUAUGUUAGAGCAUUGUGGGGAGUCAUUGUGAGCCAACAGUUAUCACGGAGUUCCUCAACUGUGUUUGUGCAGAGUCUAUAAUCUAUAAACUUCUCUUCUCUUUCCUCAUCAAGAUCUUUGCACAGAUGGCUGUUCCCAAGGAGAGUUUGCAAGGAUGGUAUAUAAAUGAGCAGAACUCACAAGUGUUUUUCACCCUGAUAUAAUUUAAUGUUUUAAUGAUGCCACUUAAUGAUGUGCAACAGAGAGCAGAACGUGUGUCUCUACAACUCAUGAUAAUUAAUUCAAGGGGUAAACAACUAGAGAAUUAACUAAUGUUGUCCCAAGGCCAAGAAAAAGGGAAAAAGAGGAAUGUGAGAAAGAAAUGCAAAGCCUGAGAGAUUUCAAAAUGGCAACAAAAUUAAGAAAGAAUAACAAACAGCCUAUCUCCUAGUUAUUUGUUUUUUUUUAUUGCCAUCUUUUCAUGAAAACAUGAAAUUGUUCAUGGUGGGUGAUGGGAAAAGUUGGUCUAUGUGUUAAAGAACAUUCCAUGCAUACUCAAUUAUCUGUGCCAUGCUGAACUGUACUAAGCUUUGUCAUCAUUGAAGUCUUAAUGCUGUCAUCCUCCAAAUCAUUGUUUGCACAUUCCCUGGAAAGCAUCAUUCUAGAAUUUUCAGGAAAGGAGAAUGAAAUGCCCAUUCUUAAAGUAGUCUUCUUUCCCGUCAUUGUCGGCCCCUUACAGUUUUACAUUACCUACUCCCUCCUUCCGUUAUGCCACCAUCUCUUAAUCUAGUUUCGGUCAAAGCACGAGAAUUCUAUGACAUAAAGUGAAAUCACUUCACUGCUGUCUGCCGUGAUUUCCCAGUGCCUGUCAUACUUUUUGCCUCUAACCUUCCAGAGAUACAUAAGUUGUUAUUCAAAUCUUGUACAGAAAAGUAAUUCUGGAAUCAUUUUGGAGCUUUGAAAUAGACCAUACAACCAAAAAUUAAAUAUAAAAAUAAAUAUGUCUUUGAAGUUAAAAUUUA